rnacentral:rRNA from 1 species
CUUAAGUGGAAAACGAUGUGAAGUUACUUAAACAACCAGGAGGUUGGCUUAGAAGCAGCCAUCCUUUAAAGAAAGCGUAAUAGCUCACUGGUCUAGUGAUUUUGCGCGGAAAAUAUAACGGGGCUAAAGUAAGUACCGAAGCUGUAGACUUGAUUUUAUCAAGUGGUAGGAGAGCGUUCUAUUUGCGUCGAAGGUAUACCGGUAAGGAGUGCUGGAGCGAAUAGAAGUGAGCAUGCAGGCAUGAGUAGCGAUAAUUAAUGUGAGAAUCAUUAACGCCGUAAACCCAAGGUUUCCUACGCGAUGCUCGUCAUCGUAGGGUUAGUCGGGUCCUAAGUCGAGUCCGAAAGGGGUAGACGAUGGCAAAUUGGUUAAUAUUCCAAUACCAACAUUAGUGUGCGAUGGAAGGACGCUUAGGGCUAAGGGGGCUAGCGGAUGGAAGUGCUAGUCUAAGGUCGUAGGAGGUUAUACAGGCAAAUCCGUAUAACAAUACUCCGAGAACUGAAAGGCUUUUUGAAGUCUUCGGAUGGAUAGAAGAACCCCUGAUGCCGUCGAGCCAAGAAAAGUUUCUAAGUUUAGCUAAUGUUGCCCGUACCGUAAACCGACACAGGUGGGUGGGAUGAGUAUUCUAAGGCGCGUGGAAGAACUCUCUUUAAGGAACUCUGCAAAAUAGCACCGUAUCUUCGGUAUAAGGUGUGGUUCGCUUCGUAUUAGGAUUUACUCCGAAAGCGAAGAAACUUACAACAAAGAGUCCCUCCCGACUGUUUACCAAAAACACAGCACUCUGCUAACUCGUAAGAGGAUGUAUAGGGUGUGACGCCUGCCCGGUGCUCGAAGGUUAAUUGAUGGGGUUAGCAUUAGCGAAGCUCUUGAUCGAAGCCCGAGUAAACGGCGGCCGUAACUAUAACGGUCCUAAGGUAGCGAAAUUCCUUGUCGGUUAAAUACCGACCUGCAUGAAUGGCGUAACGAGAUGGGAGCUGUCUCAAAGAGGGAUCCAGUGAAAUUGUAGUGGAGGUGAAAAUUCCUCCUACCCGCGGCAAGACGGAAAGACCCCGUGGACCUU